AAAAUCAUUUGUUUUUUAAUUGGAAACUGGAAUGAAAGAGUGAAUGAAAUAUAAAUUGUCUCAAUAUAAAAAAUUGAAUUUAAAUUAAAAGUUAAAAUGCUUUUAUAAUUUUAUUAGACGAUAAGACCCUAUAGAAUUUAAUAAAAUUUAUUUUUUAAAAUUAAUAUUUUUAAUAAAAUUUAGUUAAUAAGUAUAUUUUAUUGGGAGGAUAAUUAAAUUAAUUAAACUUUAAUAUAAAUAGGACAUAGAUGAAUGAGUAUUUUGAUUAUUAUUAUAAUUAUUAGAAUAAAUUACCUUAGGGAUAACAGCGUUAUAAUUUUGGAGAGUUCAUAUUGAUAAAAUUGUUUGC
rnacentral:rRNA from 1 species